rnacentral:rRNA from 1 species
UACGUAGGGGGCAAGCGUUGUCCGGAAUCAUUGGGCGUAAAGCGCGCGUAGGCGGCCCGGUAAGUCCGCUGUAAAAGUCCAGGGCUCAACCCUGGAAAGCCGGUGGAUACUGCCGGGCUAGAGUCCGGAAGAGGCGAGUGGAAUUCCUGGUGUAGCGGUGGAAUGCGCAGAUAUCAGGAGGAACACCAAUAGCGAAGGCAGCUCGCUGGGACGGUACUGACGCUAAGGCGCGAAAGCGUGGGGAGCGAACAGG